AACGUAGGACGCAAGCGUUAUCCGGAGUUACUGGGCGUAAAGCGCGGGCAGGCGGUCUUGCCAGUCUGAUGUGAAAUCUCUCAGCUCAACUGGGAGCAGCCAUUGGAAACUACAAGACUGGAGUCUGACAGAGGUAGGCGGAAUUCCGGGUGGAGUGGUGAAAUGCGUAGAGAUCCGGAGGAACACCAGAGGCGAAGGCGGCCUACUGGGUCAGUACUGACGCUGAGCCGCGAAAGCCAGGGGAGCGAACGGG
rnacentral:rRNA from 1 species